GGAGUGGGGACACAUCCUGCUACAUUGGCAAGACAUCAACCAGAGUUUAUAGGAGAGUGAACAAGAAUGAGCUCUUCUCCAAGUCUGGAGAAAAAUCCCUCCCAGGAUCUGAGGUCUGCUGCAAACCAGAGAGCAAAUGCCUUAUCGGGUCCUCUUCUUGGGAGCCUUCUCUACCCGGGUAGGAUUAAGCACCAUAAAGCCACGCUCAUCCUCUGCUCUGCUGCUGCUGCUAAGUCGCUUCAGUCGAGUCCGACUCUGUGCAACCCCAUAGAUGGCAGCCCACCAGGCUCCUCCAUCCCUGGGAUCCUCCAGGCAAGAACACUGGAAAAAAUGAAGAUAAGAAGCAAAAAUCGGAAGGUAUAAUUUCCACAAGGAUGUUUGUGGACACUGGAAUUUUGGGGAGUGCUUUGUAUUUGUGAUGUGUAUGUGAUGAUCACAUAGGUGGCUGAAGAUUCAUUGAUAUCCAGAAGAUAAACCACAAGAAAAGCAACCAGGAACAACUCCACGCUGGCUGACUUUUCCCAGAUCCUUGUGUUUUACCUGGAAAUUUGUGCUUUGACUCAGAUCCUAGCUCUGAGUGUGAAAUCUCACAACAAAAGGAAUUAAUCAUUAAAGUUCUAUGGGGAAUUCUGGUCUUUUAAAAAUCACUUGCAUACCAUUUCUCUGGGUGACAUUUUCUGAUCGACAAAGCUUGAGUCAUGGGUCUGUUAACUUUUUACAUAUUGUGGCUACAAUGAUAUAAUUCAGGAUCUUCUUAAGGAUGUGACAAAUUUUUUGCUAUCUAGUGACUAAGGACUUUCUAUUUUCAAUCUGAUGAGGUGUCAUUUGGAGCGCUAUGAACUUUACAUACCCAUUUAUACAUCCCCUGAUGAUUAAAAUGGAGCUAGAUAACUUAAUUAACAAAAAGAAAAAAUAAAAUUAUUAUGGUGUUUAUGCAACAUUGAAAAAGCUACUUCUUGAUGCUGAAAGGCACAAAUGUAAUCAUCAGGCAUUUGGGCAAUGUCUAAAAAUUAAUUUCAUUGUUGUCUUCAUCUCCCAAUCAAAAUGGUAUUACGUUUCCUUUCUCCUUCUCUGCCCAUUCAGCAUUUAGAAGAGAAAGGAAGUAGUUUUCAGCUUUUAGCUGCCAUUUUCCAAGUGCAUGUGGUCCUGAGCAUGCUCACCUAAAAUCUGUUUCUCUCUACCCCUCACUUCCACUCCAUAUUUUUUUUCUCUUUAUGUACUUUAAAAAGUUUACCAUAACUUUUUUACCAUAAACAAAAACAUUUAAGAAGUUUACCAUAACUUUUUUACCAUAAACAUAACUGAAUCUUCGUAAAUCUGGAGGAUAAGACACAAGAAAAAUAUAGAGGAAUUAAUCAAAACACAAGGAUGAUUUUUUUUCCCUCUUCUGAAUGUCAGCUUUGAAAAACUCUUACUGCUAAAGGCCGGAAUAAAUGUUAAUGAUUCAAAACAAAGAAGAAGGUUGUAUUUGUAGCUGUACUGUGAAAAAACACUUGUUAGCUUGAGUGAUAUCCUUGAAUUGUUACAGUUUUCUUCUCUAAAAAUGCAAGUAUCUUUUCUUUUUCUGUUAAUUUUUAAAAAAUAAAUUUAUCUCAUUUA
ensembl:lncRNA